rnacentral:tRNA from 1 species
AGUUAAUGUAGCAAAGCCCGGCCUUGCCAAAGAUUUAAGCCCUUUCCACAGAGGUUCAAAUCCUCUCGUUAACU